rnacentral:tRNA from 1 species
AUCUAUAUAGUUUAAACACAAAACCUUACAUUUUCACUGUAAAAAUAAUAAAUAUUAUUUAUAGAUA